rnacentral:hammerhead_ribozyme from 1 species
GUACUGCCGAUGAGUCCUAGACUAGGACGAAACAGCUGUCCAGAAU